AUUGAACGCUGGCGGCAAGCCUAACACAUGCAAGUCGAACGAGUGGCGGACGGGUGAGUAAUGUCUGGGAAACUGCCUUAUGGAGGGGGAUAACUACUGGAAACGGUAGCUAAUACCGCAUACCAUCGGAUGUGCCCAAGUGGGAUUAGCUAGUUGGUGAGGUAAAGGCUCACCUAGGCGACGAUCACUAGCUGGUCUGAGAGGAUGACCAGCCACACUGGGACUGAGACACGGGCCAGACUCCUACGGGAGGCAGCAGUGGGGAAGAUGGCGCAAUGGGCGCAAGCCUGAUGCAGCCAUGCCGCGUGUAUGAAGAAGGCCUUCGGGUUGUAAAGUACUUUCAGUGGGGAGGCGUUACCCGCAGAAGAAGCACCGGCUAACUCCGUGCCAGCAGCCGCGGUAAUAC
rnacentral:rRNA from 1 species